GCAUUGGUGAUUCAGUGGUAGAAUUCUUUCCUUCCAUGCAGGAGACCCAGGUUCAAUUUCUGGCCAAUGCA
rnacentral:tRNA from 1 species